rnacentral:rRNA from 1 species
UACGAAUGGAGCGAGCGUUGUUCGGAAUCACUGGGCGUAAAGCGUGCGCAGGCGGUCUUGAAAGUCAGAAGUGGAAGCCCCGGGCUUAACCCGGGAAUUGCUUUUGAAACUCCAAGACUAGAGUACUGGAGGGGUUGGCGGAAUUCCGAGUGUAGCAGUGAAAUGCGUAGAUAUUCGGAGGAACACCGAUGGCGUAGGCAGCCAACUGGACAGUAACUGACGCUCAGGCACGAAAGCGUGGGGAUAAAACAGG